UACGUAGGGGGCAAGCGUUGUCCGGAAUUAUUGGGCGUAAAGAGCGCGUAGGCGGUCCGAUAAGUCGGCUGUGAAAGUCCAGGGCUCAACCCUGGAAAGCCGGCCGAUACUGUCGGACUAGAGUCCGGAAGAGGCAAGUGGAAUUCCCGGUGUAGCGGUGAAAUGCGCAGAUAUCAGGAGGAACACCGGUGGCGAAGGCGGUUCUCUGGGCAUGUUCUGACGCUGAGGAGCGAAAGUGUGGGGAGCGAACAGG
rnacentral:rRNA from 1 species